GGAAACCAAAGGCAUAGACCCCGUUGACGAAGCUAUUGAUUAACCAGGAGUACCAGCUCUUAUAUUUGAUAUUCAGGAGUGAAUAGACAGCACCCCCGACACAGAGAGGGUACAGCAGGUAUGACAAGUACUUCAUGGCCUGAGUAUCGUACUCCUCGGUUUUCCUCUCAGAUUCGCUGUAAGUGCCAAACUGAAAUUCGGGCAUCAGGCCUCUCCAAAAAAUAGUCAUCUUCAAUGCCUUCUUCAC
rnacentral:misc_RNA from 1 species